rnacentral:rRNA from 1 species
UACGUAGGGUGCGAGCGUUGUCCGGAAUUAUUGGGCGUAAAGGGCUCGUAGGCGGUCUGUUGCGUCGGGAGUGAAAACUCAGGGCUUAACCCUGAGCCUGCUUCCGAUACGGGCAGACUAGAGGUAUGCAGGGGAGAACGGAAUUCCUGGUGUAGCGGUGAAAUGCGCAGAUAUCUGGAGGAACACCGGUGGCGAAGGCGGCAUCCUGGACCAACACUGACACUGAGGAGCGAAAGCCAGGGGAGCAAACGGG